AGUCCCAUGCCGCACCUCUCACCGCCGCUGCCAUCCAUUAUCAGCAAGAGGAACAGAGAGAAAAAGAGUCCCUUAGGCAGGAAGUCCUUCCAUCGUGGGUUUCAAGAUAGGAGUCUAGCACAGCUGUCCUCUGAGAGGCAGCUGACUCAGACGGAUGCAUAGACCUACAGCCAAACAGUGGGGACUCUUACGGAAGAAUAAGAAGGAUGAUGGGCCUUGAAGGAUCUAGGAACUCCACAGGAAGACCAACAGAGUAAAAUAACCUGGACCCUUGCGGCUCUCAGAAGACUGAACCACCAACCAAAGAACUUACCCAGGCUGGACCUGGGCCUCUCUGCACAUAUAUAACAGAUGUGCAGCUUGGUCUUCAUGUAGGUCCAAACAACUGGAGCUGUUGCCUGUGUAUAUGAUAUAUUCUUCUAGCUGACUGUCUUUUCUAGCUUCAGUGGGAGAGGAAGCACCUAGCUUCGCAGAGACUUGGUGUGCAAGGGUGUGGGAGUGACACACAGAGGACACCUACCUGCUCAGAGGAGAAAGGGGUGAGGAUUGUGGGAGGGGGUGACCGGAAGGGAGGCAGUGAGGUGCACAUAAAGUGAAAGUCAAAACAAAACAAAUCAAAAAACAGUUUAAAGAUGUCUGGAUUUUCAAAUACACAAAACUGUGUCACGCGCCUGCCCCUGGUUCUUUCCUUUUUCCGUCACCCGGAGCCACUUUCCAUCUACUCUUACUGCCUCACCAGAUUGACUGCCAGCUCUCCAAGAUUUUGAACCUCCUAUUUCUUUACGUUACCCUUGUCUGGGAAGUGCCUUAUCCUGUAACCUUCAAUGGCAUGGGUGCAAUUUCAAUUUCUGCUUGCACCUCCUUGCUUGUGAGUUACAUGAGUGGUGAGGCACACACAAGCUCAUGUCCCUCCACACCCCACAGUGCCUUGCAGAGAACAAGGACUUGAUAGAUAGUUGUUGAACCAGAAGAAAACAUGGAGGGGUAAUGAGGGGAGGAAUUGGUAAGUGUGGGACUGGGAAGAGAGGAUGGAGGAGGGCUAUGAUCGGGACAUAAAGUGAAUUUUAAGAAAAAGAAGAGAGUAAAGAAAAAAAAAUAAAACCAUCACUGCUUGUUCUAAAAAAA